rnacentral:rRNA from 1 species
ACUCCUACGGGAGGCAGCAGUAGGGAAUCUUCCACAAUGGGCGCAAGCCUGAUGGAGCAACACCGCGUGAGUGAAGAAGGGUUUCGGCUCGUAAAGCUCUGUUGUUAAAGAAGAACACGUAUGAGAGUAACUGUUCAUACGUUGACGGUAUUUAACCAGAAAGUCACGGCUAACUACGUGCCAGCAGCCGCGGUAAUACGUAGGUGGCAAGCGUUAUCCGGAUUUAUUGGGCGUAAAGAGAGUGCAGGCGGUUUUCUAAGUCUGAUGUGAAAGCCUUCGGCUUAACCGGAGAAGUGCAUCGGAAACUGGAUAACUUGAGUGCAGAAGAGGGUAGUGGAACUCCAUGUGUAGCGGUGGAAUGCGUAGAUAUAUGGAAGAACACCAGUGGCGAAGGCGGCUACCUGGUCUGCAACUGACGCUGAGACUCGAAAGCAUAGGGUGCGAACAGGAUUAGAUACCCUGGUAGGAUAGCG